GCUCUGUUGGCGGCGGAUUUGAAUGCUAGGACGGGUCUCGGGUCCUGAAGAGGAGUUUGAGGGGCUGGAUUGUUCUAGCUGUCCCUGUGGCGGUGAACUUGUGUGCAGUUCGGGGAGGUCCUGGGAAGCUGAGGCGGCUGCGGCCUGACAGGGAGGAUGGCGCUCUCGACCACAGUCUCCCAGAAGAAGCAGAUAAAGCGGAGGGCGCCCCGCGGCUUUCUAAAGCGGGUCUUCAAGCUACAGAAGCCUCACCUUCGUCUGGAGAAAAGCAGCGACUUACUGGUCCAUCUGAGCUGUUUACUGUUUGUUCAUCGAUUAGCGGAAGAGUCCAGGACAAAUGCUUGUGAGAAUAAGUGUGGAAUCAUUAACAAGGAGCAUGUACUGGCUGCAGCAAAGAUACUCAUGCAAGAGCCCUUCAAAACAGAUUAAUGUUUCUGGAACUCUAUCCUGCCUCAGAAUCUUGCUUGUCUAAAAGGAGAAUCAAAUUAUCUGAGAUUAUUUGCUACAGGAUUGAUUUAGUUAACUUCUUGCAGGGAGGGGCACAAAGAAGAAUAAGACAUGGCUUUGAUACUGGAAGAACUCAAAGUCUAGUUAUAGUAAUUACGGUUCAUCUUGGAAGAUGGGAAAAUAAUUUAGAAACCUAUCAUCAACUUCUUCCUGUGAUUCAGAGGACUUCUGUGUGGGGACUGAAUAUCAUCAGGAAUUGAGAAGAAAUGGCUGAAUGAGGCAAAAUAUAAUGGAAUGAGGAAACAGCAAUUAUAUGACACUUAUGAGAAAGUGAUAACAAGACAGAGGACUCAUCAAUCCUAGGGGAUAACUGAGCCACAAAAUGGAAACAACCUGGGUUCUUAAACUACCAUAAUGAGAAAACUCACCUCCAACAAGGAACACCUGCAUUGGAUAAAGCAAAAUAAACUUCCAUUAUGUUAAGCCACUGAAUUUCUGGGCAGCUGAUCUGUUACUACCAUUAAUAUU